UAACCGGUGGACCCUGGACUGCCAAAGCAGAACCUGCGAACUUAACCGUUGUGCUGCUGGGCCUGCCCCAGAAAGGAAUUUUUUUAAGGAAGAAACCUGCCAUUGCCUCCAAUAUAAACGUAUAAUGAAAUUCUAUACAAAGCCCUUCAUAAUUGGGCCACUUGCCUACCUGUUCAAGCUUACCUGUCCCUCCCCAUCUGCCCUUGGCUGCCCCGACUGUCCCUUUGCAUGAGCUCUUCUUUCUCCUGAAAAGUCCUCGUGUUCAUUUCUGUGAGACUGCUGCACUUUGUUUCAUCUCGGGAGAGUUUACCAAGUCCUGCAACCCUCCCACCCAACCCGCACUCACGCUUGAGUGAGGUGACCCUCUUCUGCUUUACUGAAAUCAUUGAUUCCUUGUCCUUGCAUCACCGUUAUUCCUGCAAGUAAGGACAGGUGUUGGCAGUCUUCCUUGUUUGCCAAUGGCAUUCAGGAGGGAUAUGCUGAUAGAGUAAAGAAUGAGAUCUCACUGGGCCCUGAGAUGCUUUGGGCCAUCAUGUUCCCUGGGUCGCUCCUGUACUUUUCAAAUGCAGUCACUAAAUUUGGAAAAGUGGAUAAUUAGAUGAGAAUGUUUUGGUCUGAAGAAGAGCAGUAUCUUCUACCUGAAGUGUGUUUUGCUGAAGCCGUUAGUCCUGGUACCUAAUCUCAAAGUAAGGCAUGUAUAUGAUGUCUCUAGAAAGAUACAUAAAGAUAGAAAAUCUCUGGAAGAAAACUGGAAACACUCUAGAAGGGAGACUUUUCACUGUGUACCUUUUGUAAUUUUUGAAUCAAGUCAAUGUAUUACCUACUCAUUAAAUGAAUUGAGUUUUUUUAAAUGCUGAGCCCCACGUCAAACCUACUGAAACAGAAUGUGUAGCUUUUUGAAAGUCCCUCUGGGGAUUCCACCACCUGUGGGGGGCUAAGGAACCACGAUUGUAGCAGGAAGUACAGAACUAUCUAGUGACUUCCUUAGACAACUGAGUGGGAAACUGCCAACAUGGUUGGCUUGUAGUUGCUGCCCUCUUAUUAGAACAAAAUGUAAAGCACCAGAGUGGAAAGGAGUAUUAAAAGUCAACAAAUUCUCCCACUCAGUGCUCAGGGGCCUCAACCCAUGGCCCUCUUGACCCAGGUGCCCUGAGCGCCCUGCAGUGCUCCAGGUGUGGCUGGCCCUCAUUUUCCACGUGUUCUGCUUAAUGCAAUAAUAUUUGAAUGCAGCCUAAACUUACAUUUGGGUUUUUUUUGGGGGGGGGGGGGGCGGGGUGUGUAACAGUAUUACAUAGGUGACUCAUACUGAGUUUUCUACCAGCUAAAACUCCGAAGUCUUUCUUCAUGACUGCUGCCGCCCCCCAGGCCUGCCCCGCACAUACACUGGUGCGGCUGGGUUUGAGCGUCAUAUAUAGGAACUCACGUUGUGAUAUCUUUUUUCCACUUGGCACACCAGAUGUUUCAGCAUCUGAUUUGUGUUAUACAUGUUUUCCUUCUUAAUUCUUUUUUUGUUUUUUGAAAUUCCAUUUUAGAUUUGCUAAAACAAAAUGAAAGAUGAUGCCAUUUUGCAUCAAUUUGGCAAAUUUAAAAAAAAAUCAGUAUUUCAAUUUCUGGAAGAAAGCAUGCGGGAUGAGGAUGGUGCAGUGGCAACAUUUUGAAAUCUGGGUUCUAAUUAAAGCCCCACCACUUACUAACUGUGAGAACUGCAGCAUCUUAACUUCUCUAAGCCUCAGUAUCUUCAUCUGGAAAACAGAUGCUAAUACUUACCUUGGUGGCUGAUUCAGUAAAUGGAGGCCAUCACAGGAGUGCCUUUACCAUGAGAAGGUCUUAGAAUGCUGGUCUCUACUGUGAAUUAGGUGCGAACUACAGGAUGCCUGUUUGCAUUCUCUGAUUUUUGUGUAGCCCUGAGAAAAUAUUUCAAGAAUAUGUUUAGCCCAUGUGCAUUACCUACUCCCUGGUUGCUGUCCUCAAACCCUAUUUUCACUCAAAAUCUCCUUGCCAUCACACACUUAGUGGUUUGCUGGAAGCAUGGGCUGUGGAGUAUAUCUUGGAUGGGGAGCCAUGAGCCCUGGUUCCAGUGCUGGCUCAGACUCCCAAGGCCACAGAGCCUUAUCCAAAAUAAGAUGAUUAAACUAGAUGACCCCUAGUUUAAUCUCUAGGUCCUUUCCAUCUUCUAUAAAUGUCUACUCACUGAGCCUCUAAGGCUAUGCUUCUCUAUUAAAACUCUUUUGAGCUACUCUUAGACUUGCCCAGGGUUAACAAGUAGUUAGAUGUCACUUUAAAAUGGGCUAGCCUAACACCUUCCUGUACAGCAUGAAUCUCUUCUCUGAGUGCUCAUAUUCUUUUUGUUUCCAAAACAAAACUCUGAAAAUGCAGAGUUGAUCCCAGUCUUGAAAGCUGGUGCCUUUUUUCUUGGUCUGUUUCUGGAAGAAGCACUUGAAAGACGGAUGAAAGGCCCAUAGAUGCUGUUGCACCUGGCCCUGGUCUGGAGCUGCCAGAUCACAGCACCACAACAUUUUCUUUUUUUUUUGGUGUUCAAAUAUAAUUUAUUCCUCAUCUGUCCCCCUAUACGACGUGAGCCCUGCAAGGGAGGGGAUGAAGCUGUCCAGUGCACGGAGAAGCGUCUGCAAACACGAUGACAAAACAUGCCCCUCUUCUCAUGUUAAGGCAUUUGUGGCAUCUGGAUCGUCUGUUUGCUGUUCACUUCUCCCUCCUGCGGCCACCCCACCAUGGGGGAUGCCGGAAACUCCCUCAGCACUUUCAACAGGCACCCAGUCUGGGAGCAGGAUGGAAAAUAUGUGCCCAAGGACAUUAUGGAGAAGGGACACCUACAUAGUUGGAUAAUGCUAGACAUCCGAGGCCACAAAUACUGUUGUCCUCUCUCUUCUGAGAACCUGAGAUCUAAGAAGGUCCAGGCUUAGAGUGCUACAGAAAUAGGGAUUUAUGAUACAAAAAGGGAAGAAUUUCCUAACUACCACCAUGGCUAUCAGGCACUGACAUGACUUACUUGUUAACGAGGUUGUAUGGAGUGAUUAAUAUGGCACAGAUGGGAGUCUUGCUGAGUGUUUUUCAUGUCCCUUCAUAGAGGCAGGGGCUGCGUGAAAGCACGAGAUGACAGGUGGGGUCUUGUAGCUUUGGGACUUGAUGGCUUCUCUCGAGGCCUCGUGAUAUGGUUGCAGUAUAUCGUCUUCCUUCUCUUCCUGCUUGCGCCCUCAUCCUAUUUUCUCCCUUCACUUCAUCCCGGUAUUCUUGGACCCUGCCUCCCUCCCACUAAGAUUCUGGUUCUAACUGAAGUAAAAAACUAGACCAACGUCACUUAUCUCAUUGUAUCUAUCACAGGCGGAUUUUUCAUAGUCCUUCUUGGAGAGAAAAGAGGACUGGGCUGAAAUGUUUCAGAGUUGGGAUACGUGAACGUGGGUCAAAAUCUCCAAAGUUUCCUUGGCAGCCCCCUCGGAGUAGUGAGCGUGGACCUAGGCGAAAUGGGAGACCUGAGUCGUAACUUACCCGUCCUUGAGAAGACGACCUGCCCCCUAGGCUAGACGACUGUGGGGUUUUUCGGUUUGUGUUUAGUGAUUGCCGUUCUGCCUGGAGAAAUGUCUGCACUGCUACUUCUCGGUGUGUUGCACUGGCACAGUGGGCUGGGUACACUGUGCACGGCAGCGAGGCCCAGGGGAGAGUGUGUGUCCUUAUGUAAUGACACGGUGCUUUGCUAGGCACCCAGCCCAACUCCUGUCACCCGCCCCGCGUGGGAGUUAUUACACAGCGACAUUUCCCUGCAGUCUCUCGUAACAUUAGCCUUUCCUUCUCUUUCUUAGAUUUCUUUAAAACAUUUCCCUUAUGUAUAAAUAACUUCUUUAAAAAGUCUGAGAGUAGCUCUAACCUUCCAGGUUCUAGCAGGAGGUUAGUGCUAAGAAAAAGCUUCCAUUUUUGCCCCAUUAUUUUGUUCUUCAUUUAUUUAAUAGCGGCCUAGACUUUAAUCUGAAUAUAGUCCAAGGUUCUGAGAGCACUGCAGGAAUCUGAAACCAAUCGUACUGUCAGUAAAUUGCCACUUUAAAUCCCACUUACCCUGUCUGCUCACACUCCUUACACAGUUUCCGCUCCUUGGGCAACCAAAAGUUUAACAGGCAAGUUUUAAUGAGCUCUCUCUUUUUCCCAAUAAUCUAACCUAAACUAUCGGAGAAAAAUCUUGCCUUACAUUGUUGUGACUCCAGCCCAGUGCUGCCCGAACUAUCUGUGGUAAAGGGCUGAUUUUCUUUAGAUGUCCAAUUUGUUGUGGACUGGUAGCAAAUGUAAAAUGCAAUAAAUAUGAGUUACCAGAAAAGUGAAUUAGAAAAUGUAAAGGAAAAACACUCCUGUGUGUCUCCUCUACUCUCAAUCUCUAUUCACUUCUGACAUUUCUAGUCACCAAAUGUGUGUUUAAGUUUUUCCACUCACCAAGCAAUUCUGCGACACCAGCUGGGUGUCCUACAAUUUAACUCAAUUCUGACACUGUCUACCCAGAGAUAGUGUCAGAUCCCACUGAUUAAGAGCUCAGUCCUACAGGACUGCCCCCCCUUCAGAUGCCAAUCAUAAGUCCAGGUUACCCGUGCUUCUAGAAAAUGGAGGGUCCCACGCCCCCUCCUUGGGUUGGAUUAAUUUGCUAGAGCGGCCCACAGACUUCAGGAAAACAUUUUACUUACUGGAUUACCAGUUUGUUAUAAAAGAUUAUAACUUAGGGACAGCCAGAUGGAAGAGAUGCACAGGGCAAGUAUGUGGGAAGGGAUCCAGAGCCCCCGUGUCCUCUCCAGGUGUGCCACCCCACCCUUCCACCAUGCAGAUACGUUCCCAACCCGGAAGCUCUUGGAAUUCCUUUUCAGUUUUUAUGGUAUGAUUGAUCAAAUCACUAGCCACUGGUGGUUGAACUCAAUCUCUAGCCCCUCUCCACUCCCCGGAGGUCAGGGAAGGAGGGGCUGAAAGUGCCAACCAUCUCAUCACGUGGUUGGUUUCCCUGGCAGCCAGCCCCCAUCCAGUGGGACUUUCCCAAAGUCACUUCGUUAAUAUAAACUCCGAGGUGGCUGAAAGGGACUUGUUAUGAACACCAAAAACACACAUUUCACCUUUAUCUUCUGGAGCUAUUUCAGGAACUGGGAACAAAAGAUGCCCUAUAGCUCUUAUCACUUAGGAAAUUACAAAGGUUUAAGGAGCUGUGUACUGGGAACCCUGGAUAAAGACCAAAAUACAUAUUUAUUAUAAAUCACAAUACCACAGAAAAAAAACAAAACAUACACGAUCUAGUUCUAAAAUUUUAUUAGAUUUUUGGAUUAUAUUUUUAUAUGCAACAAAAUAAUCCUGUCAAAUUGCCUUGAAAAGUUUCUAAACGCUGUUAAAUUAAUUAAACAAGGAGGCCAGCAGACUGAGUUGGCUCUAAUACCUUAGUAGCCUACUUAGCAAACCCAAACCUAAGCCUGUAAAUGCCUCAAGGUCAAGGAAUCAAAACCCAAGGACAACCAAUCACAAACAGCCAGCUAGGCUUUCCCAAAGAGGCAAUCGCUUAACUGCAGCCAAUCAAAUCAUCUCCUUGCUUUGCUUCCACCUUUGCUCCUUUGCUCCAUAAAAGUCCCAUGUCGUGUGUGUGUGUGUGUGCGCGCGCACACGCGUGUGUGUCCCGUCGCCCCCUCAUCCCCUCCCCCCUAUUGGUGGAACACUCCUAACCACUUACGGUUUGGCAGUGCUCAAAUCAAAUCAUUUUUUCUCAAAUAACCUCUAAAAUUCCUUAAUACGCCUCAGUUUAUCUUUCAGUAACACUCAGUUUCUGCCCCAGACUGAGGACCUGUGACAUGUUGGGUAACUGUGCUGCAGUCAAUACUGGCCUGAACUUUACCUAGUUUUGAAUUCUAAACAUUGCAAUCCAAACAUUUCACUCCCUUUUUUAAAAGCUUGCCAAACUCUUUGGCCUGUCUUUCAAAAACUUCCACAGUGUGUCCCAAGCAUAUUUUUUAAAAAACACAUUUUACUGAGGUGUAAUUUAUAAACAAUCAAUUGCACCUAUUUAAAGUUCACAAUUCCAUGAGUUUUGAUGGACGUGUAUGCCCACGAAAUCACCACCACGAUCACGACACAAAGCAUUUCCAUCGCCCCAAGAGAUCCCUUGUGCCCCUUUGUAGUCCAUUUGGCCCCAGUUCUAGGCACCCUCUGCUUCUGUCACUAUAGAUUAGUCUUGCCUUUUCCCUUCAUUCAUUCUAAUGAUUCUGAGAUUCGUCCAUGUUGUUGGAUGUAUUGGUAAUUUUCUUCUUUAUAUUGCUGUGUGGUAUUCCCAUUGAAUCCUUCUGAUGUUUCCAGCUUUUGGUUAUGGUGAAUAAAGCUGCUAUGAACAUGUG